rnacentral:rRNA from 1 species
GAAGAGAGAGUUCAAGAGUACGUGAAACCGUCUGGGAGUAAACGGGUGGUUCCCGAAAGUGCGAAAGGGGAGAUUCAGGUCUCGCCGCGCGCCGGGCCGCUCCCGCGAUAAGGGAUGGCGUCUUCGCGGCCGUGGGGUAACCCUCGGUCCGGAGNNNGCGCCACCCCGCGGGUGCGGACGAUCCCGGCGCCGGAGUGACGCACUUCUCCCCCGGUAGAACGUCGCGAUCCGUCGGUCGCCGGCCUAAGGCCCCGGGUGGAGCCUGUGCGGUCUCGGCCGCGCACGACCCCGGGAAUCCGGGCCGGGUGUCCGACGGUAAGAAAAGAGGAAGGAGAAGACGCGCCUCGUUCGUAGGCGUCCGCCCCUCCGCAAGCGCCCGCGGAAGUGGGAGGCUCCGGGCCCGGCCCGGUCUCCUCCUUCAGCGGGGCUGUUUGCGUUCCGGANGUGUGCUCGGAC